UUCAUCUUUACUGCAGGUUUAAACUUUCUCUGAGGUAAUGGUGUAUUUCCUUGCCCCAUAACAUUAACCAUGUUUGACCAACAAACAAAAGCACAGUAUUCCUGUUAGCACGGGGUUUUUGUAUUGAUUACAGAUUUAAAGUAAAGGGGAUUUUUUUUUUCAGGCCUCUCCUCCUCCUGCCUCUGACUCCAGUGAUGCUGUCAACUAAAACACUGAUAACUGCACACAGCGAUUCUACAACCACAGGUCAAAGGUCAAAACAUUACCUCACUUUAAACCUUCACUCUGAACUGUACCGGGCUCUGCUUUUGGUUUUGGACAAAAGUGCCCAAACAGAACAC